CAGUCAUUGCUGCCCCUGAGGACUCCGUUUCCCCGUCUGUAAAAUAUCAGAGUAUGUCCUUCAACUUUCUCGAAUAGCCCUCCACUUGCAUGACGGCAGGGAAGCCAAUGUGUGGGUCCUAACAGAUGUGGAUGUCACCACUACUUCCCACCCUUAAGCCACGUGGGCCACUUCUCUGUCUUCUACCACUUCCUCCAAACCCCAGGGACCAGGUCAUUUCCUUUUUUCUUUCACAACUGUGACCAAACAGAAAAUCCCGUUCCUUGUUUUCAGCACACUCAUCUACACGUAAUGCAUCCGCUUCAGCUCUGUUUAAGAAUGUUGUUGCUAUUUGCUCUGAGGAACCGACCUAAAGGAAACAAGACUGACAAGCCUGGUGAAGGUAACAGGUUAAACUCACAAGGUUCAUGACCUCUGUCCUCGUCAUCCGAAUCGAAGAAUGCUCUUUGUAUGGGAGCAACACGUUGGGAUCUCUGUUGGCGUAUUUCCCCAGCCCCUUUCCCCCAGAAGAUUUUACUCUCAACUCUCCAAAAAGUGAUGGCCAGGAAUUCCAAAAGUGCCACCAAGCAGUUCAGAGUGGUGCAACCUGGAGGGUCCAGACCAGAGGCAACUUAUGAUGCUGAUCAAGGUUUCCCAUGUGCUCCCACCUUCCCCUGCUAGUGACGUCUGUCCUCCCGUCCAGCUGGGUCUCGCCUCUCAGAGCCUCAGUUCUGUGUCACUCUGCCUCCAUCAUUACGACAAGCCUGAAUUGCACUUAUCAUAUCUUUUUUGUUUUGCAAGUUAACUAGCUAAGGCUUAGAGAAAUGAAUUGUUCACUGUCUAUCACGGAGUGGGGAAAGUGAAAGAACUCGGAUUGCAACCCAGGUCUCUAUAACUAGAUUCCAAGUGGUGCAAAAAGGCUAACAUCGUGCUCUCGGAUACGCAUGUCUUCCGCGUGGAAGGCUUGAACCAGGUUUUCGAGAAUUAAGGAGACUGCAUGCAAUUCCUGUAACUCCAAGCACGCGGGCUGCGGGGAAAUAUUUCAGCAUCGGUGGGUGUUUUCAAGCUUCCCUGAAGUACGUCUACCCGCUCUGCUUGACGUGCACUCCAGGAGACACGAGCACCUGCGACCGUCAACCGGAAAAACACCCGACCGAACCAUUCAGAGCCUACAGAGGGUCAGGGGGAAAGAGGCCAGAGGAAGCCCAGAGCUGGGGCUGGGGGCCAGGGAAGUGCUAUCAAUGAGGCUAACUGGGCGAUGCCUUUUCACGGAGAUGAGUGUUUCCAAUUGUGAGAUUAUACGGCCAGUGGGUGGCUGGGAGGGAAGGCUUGUUGCCGUUGGACGCCCUUUGGAAUUGAGCCAGAGGGUUUGAACACAAAGGGAAAAACAACCCAAGGUGGGUGAUGUCACAGAGCAUCCUGAGGAAAGUGGCAAGGAUAAAGCUUCCUACUGCUCGGAUCCAAAGAACACAGACUUAUUUUGGCAUUAAUUCCUUCUGCAGCCAGAAACUUGACUCUUAGGGCAAGAUUAAUCCUAAUCGUAAAGACUCAGUGCUGCAGAGGAGGCGUGUGUGUGUGUGUGUGUGUGUGCGUGUGUAAGUCUGGUUCCUGCGUGUUCUCAGCUCUCCUCCACACGUGUUCUAGGCAGUUUAUGAAUCCCCGUAACGAGGCAAAGGCCUUUUCCACUGAGGUGCAUAGAACGUUGGCUUGCUCUCCUCAAGGGCACUCAAACCAUGAUCAGAAAUAUGUCAUCUCAUAUAAUGAUGAUGAUGACUUCAUAUGGGAAAAAAGGGGAGGGAAGAGGGAACCAAAACUCAAGAGGCUUUAGGUCAGUGGCUGCCCAGUGUCAGUGAAACAGAGAAAUUCAUUUUACUGCAUUUCUUAGGCGAUGAAGGAGGGUCUGUUUGUCAGGUCAAACCACCAAUGAAAAUAUCUAUGCAUUGUAAAUAUUUUAAAAUUUUCUAUUAUGCUGUUUUGAUAUCCUAAUAAAAAAGAAAAUAAAAACAAACCAAAACUGUUCUGGCUGGAGAGAGACUGCCCCUCCCAGGGCUAGCCAAUUUUUAGAGAGAACCAGGGACCCAGCCUGGAGAUGCUUCUGAUGCACAAACCCGCUAACCCAGGGCCACACACCCUGUAUCUGGCUCUGCAUGCAAGGAGGCAGUGUUCUUCUGCUGCAGGCAUCCUAGUGCCAGGUAUCAAGCAACGAGGAACCACCCUCAUCUCCCAACGCCCUCCCAAAGUAUUCAGACCGGCCACAGCUAAGCUAUUCAUCCUGCUGAGCCAUGCCUUCCUCACGCAAACCCCGAGAGAGGCCAGCCAUAGCCUGACCCUCCCUGGCUGCUGUCUUCACUUCCUGACCAUCCUGGUGUCCCUCCCGUGUGGCCUGGGCUGCACGCCGCCCCUCCCGCCUCAAGGACCUUCGAGUAGAAUAAACUUUAUUUCUUCCUGA